rnacentral:rRNA from 1 species
CAACAAGGAAGUGACGGCUAACUACGUGCCAGCAGCCGCGGUAAAACGUAGGUCACAAGCGUUGUCCGGAAUUACUGGGUGUAAAGGGAGCGCAGGCGGGCGAUCAAGUUGGAAGUGAAAUCCAUGGGCUCAACCCAUGAACUGCUUUCAAAACUGGUCGUCUUGAGUAGUGCAGAGGUAGGCGGAAUUCCCGGUGUAGCGGUGGAAUGCGUAGAUAUCGGGAGGAACACCAGUGGCGAAGGCGGCGUACUGGGCACCAACUGACGCUGAGGCUCGAAAGUGUGGGUAGCAAACAGGAUUAGAUACCCUGGUAGUCCACACCGUAAACGAUGAUUACUAGGUGUUGGGAGAUUGACCCUCUCAGUGCCGCAGUUAACACAAUAAGUAAUCCACCUGGGGAGUACGACCGCAAGGUUGCAACUCAAAGGAAUUGACGGAAU